rnacentral:tRNA from 1 species
GCAUUAGUGAUUCACUGGUAGAAUUCUGGCCUUCCAUGCAGGAGACCUGGGUUCAAUUCCCAGCCAAUGCA